rnacentral:rRNA from 1 species
AUUGAACGCUGGCGGCAGGCCUAACACAUGCAAGUCGAGCGAGCGGCGGACGGGUGCGUAAUGUAUGGGUAUCUGCCCGAUAGCUGGGGCUCACUACUGGAAACGGUGGCUAAUACCGCAUCCUAUCGGCUUACCCCAUAUUGGAUUAGCUAGUAGGUGGGGUAAAGGCUCACCGAGGCGACGAUCUCUAGCUGGUCUGAGAGGAUGAUCAGCCACACUGGGACUGAGCCCCGGCCCAGACUCCUACGGGAGGCAGCAGUGGGGAAUAUUGAACAAUGGGCGCAAGCCUGAUGCAGCCAUGCCGCGUGUAUGAAGAAGGCCUUAGGGUUGUAAAGUACUUUCAGCGGGGAGGCGUUACCCGAAGAAGAAGCACCGGCUAACUCCGUGCCAGCAGCCGCGGUAAUAC